rnacentral:rRNA from 1 species
UACGAAGGGGGCUAGCGUUGUUCGGAAUCACUGGGCGUAAGGCGCACGUAGGCGGCUUUCUAAGUCAGGGGUGAAAUCCUGGAGCUCAACUCCAGAACUGCCUUUGAUACUGGAGAGCUUGAGUCCGGGAGAGGUGAGUGGAACUCCGAGUGUAGAGGUGAAAUUCGUAGAUAUUCGGAAGAACACCAGUGGCGAAGGCGGCUCACUGGCCCGGUACUGACGCUGAUGUGCGAAAGUGUGGGGAGCAAACAGG